rnacentral:rRNA from 1 species
UACGGGGGGGGGCAAGCGUUGUUCGGAAUUACUGGGCGUAAAGGGCUCGUAGGUGGCCAACUAAGUCGGACGUGAAAUCCCUCGGCUCAACCGAGGAACUGCGUCCGAUACUGGCAGGCUGGAAUCCGGGAGAGGGAUGUGGAAUUCCAGGUGUAGCGGUGAAAUGCGUAGAUAUCUGGAGGAACACCGGUGGCGAAGGCGGCAUCCUGGACCGGUAUUGACGCUGAGGAGCGAAAGCGUGGGGAGCGAACAGG